rnacentral:tRNA from 1 species
AGGCUCAUGGCUCAGCGGUAGAGCGCUCACCUAGCACGUGUGAGGUCCUGGGUUCGAUCCUCAGCACCCUG